UACGUAGGGCGCAAGCGUUAUCCGGAAUUAUUGGGCGUAAAGAGCUCGUAGGCGGUUUGUCGCGUCUGCCGUGAAAGUCCGGGGCUCAACUCCGGAUCUGCGGUGGGUACGGGGCAGACUAGAGUGAUGUAGGGGGAGACUGGAAUUCCUGGUGUAGCGGUGAAAUGCGCAGAUAUCAGGAGGAACACCGAUGGCGAAGGCAGGUCUCUGGGCAUUAACUGACGCUGAGGAGCGAAAGCGUGGGGAGCGAACAGG
rnacentral:rRNA from 1 species